AGUAUCUCACAUGGAACGUACUUUUUUAGAGUUUAUAAAAUGAGUAAUUUGACAGGGACACAGGGUAAACAAGUGUCCUAGUUUGAAAUGCGUUCUACAUGUUUUCUUUUUCCCUGGAAGACGCUUAAUAGCAAAACGAAUGCAAUUAAGAAACAAAAUGAAGCACAGGGAAUGAUAAAGACAUUUUAGUUCAAACACAAUGAUUUGUUGCACAUUUUUACUAACCAAUAUGUCUAAACGGUUAUAAAAUUUGAUACCCGAUAAAGCCCAUGCAAAGAGACAAUCCUUCAGUCAAUUAGCUAGAUUUGCUUGCAAAUCGACCCCAUCAACACAAGUAAGGCUAUUAUUGCUAUUUCGAAUGGUCUCUAUGAGCGUAGUAAAACGAUUAGAUGGACGAUGGACACACCAAGAGGGGUGGUCCGCUUUCAAAACAAACAACUCACAUCCUCUGACUAAAUAAUUGGUGGAUCUCACCUUAACUUGGAACUUUUUUGCACAGGCUCAGGAAGUCCUUAAAGGUCAAUAAGAGAUUGACCGCCAUUGCCUACAGAGUGGGUUAUUACACAGGGAUAAGUGGGCUGGUUGCCUGGCUACUGCAAACCAAAUGCAUUCAUCUACUCACAGAGACGUCCACAACAGUGUUCACUUAUCUAUGCACAAACUAAGCAUGCCUACUUUACACUGAUUUGAUUUUUAAAAAUAGAUUUGGCAAGUGUCUUUGUGUUUUACUCACCUAAAUGAUUUUAAAGUGUUUAUAAUGCCAUGGGCUUUAAUGAUUACAAUUAUGAUGUCACUACUAAUUUGUGUUUUGGUCUGCCUGCUGUAAAACAUUAAAAUGUCAUGCAUA